ACAUGGUUCCCAUGACACCCUCUCUCUGCUCUACCCUGGCCACUCCCCAUGGUGCUCAGGGCCUUGUGCUGCAGCUGCCCUCACCACUGAAAGUAGUCUGGCCAUGGUGUUUGCAGGGUUCUUUCCAUCCCCGGUGCAGUGACUGGGUUUUAUUAUUUUGCUACUCAGUAAUAAACCCUGGGGCAAUUUACCACUGAGCUACAUUCCCAGUCCCUGCUACUUUUUAUUGUAAAUCAGGGUCUCGCUAAUUUGCUGAGGCUGGUCUCAAACUUUCCUCAGUGUCCCAAGUCACUGGGAUUACAGGUGUGUGGCUAGGGAAAUAUGUCUGGGCAUCCCCUGCUGCCACUAGUCUCCCAGAUAGUUGAAUUCAAUGAAGGUAGGUUUUUAGAAAAAAUUGAGAGAUAAAUGAAUAAAGUGGGAGCAGGGUGGUGACACCAUUUUUGGAUCAGUUGAUCAGAACAGCACUAGAAAGAUCUUAAAAGGUACCUGGAAGGAAGAAGUGAGAGGACAGGUGUGGCCAAUGGAGACAGAGCAAGGAUCCUGCAAAGGGAAGCACAAGGAGAUGAGCAGCCCUGAGAAGGCAGGAGAAUUGGGUGCUGGGUCAGCACUGUCUGGGGAGAGCUGCUCACAAGUGGGUCGAAGGAGGUCACUCUUCCUUGGAGCCUGGGAAGGCAGGAGGCCCUGGGUCAUUCUUGGAGCCUUGCCCCGGGCCCAGGUUGAGCCCUGGCUUAACUGACCAACUUAGUGAGGAUCAUUGGGAGAUGGUCUUG
rnacentral:lncRNA from 1 species